GACGAACACUGGCGGCGUGCCUAAUACAUGCAAGUAGAACGCUGAAGCUUGGUGCUUGCACCGAGCGGAUGAGUUGCGAACGGGUGAGUAACGCGUAGGUAACCUGCCUGGUAGCGGGGGAUAACUAUUGGAAACGAUAGCUAAUACCGCAUAAAAUGGAUUAUCGCAUGAUAAUUCAUUGAAAGGUGCAAAUGCAUCACUACCAGAUGGACCUGCGUUGUAUUAGCUAGUUGGUGGGGUAACGGCUCACCAAGGCGACGAUACAUAGCCGACCUGAGAGGGUGAUCGGCCACACUGGGACUGAGACACGGCCCAGACUCCUACGGGAGGCAGCAGUAGGGAAUCUUCGGCAAUGGACGGAAGUCUGACCGAGCAACGCCGCGUGAGUGAAGAAGGUUUUCGGAUCGUAAAGCUCUGUUGUAAGAGAAGAACGAGUGUGAGAGUGGAAAGUUCA
rnacentral:rRNA from 1 species